UAAUAAUCAUCAUACAAGGAGAUUGAACCAGAAGUAGAGGACGACCUUGCAGAACUAGUACUAGAAUCUGAAUAAGAUUUGGGAUUUGAUUCACUGGAAACAGAAUCCGAGUCUGAUUCACUAGAACUGGACAUAGAAUCUGAUUCAUCAUGACUAGAUCUUGAAGAAGAAGUGUGUUCACUAGCAUGCCCACUAGUAUGGCCUCUUCUUAAUGAUCUAAAUGAAUAAGAGAUUG